AUAUCAUCCUCCACUCACUAUCACAAGGGUUAGUAACUACACAGACUCAUUUCAUAUCAUCCUCCACUCACUAUCACAAGGGUUAGAAACUACAGACUCAUUUCAUAUCAUCCUCCACUCACUAUCACAAGGGUUAGUAACUACACAGACUCAUUUCAUAUCAUCCUCCACUCACUAUCACAAGGGUUAGAAACUACAGACUCAUUUCAUAUCAUCCUCCACUCACUAUCACAAGGGUUAGUAACUACACAGACUCAUUUCAUAUCAUCCUCCACUCACUAUCACCAGGGUUAGUAACUACACAGACUCAUUUCAUAUCAUCCUCCACUCACUAUCACAAGGGUUAGUAACUACAGACUCAUUUCAUAUCAUCCUCCACUCACUAUCACAAGGGUUAGUAACUACACAGACUCAUUUCAUAUCAUCCUCCACUCACUAUCACAAGGGUUAGUAACUACACAGACUCAUUUCAUAUCAUCCUCCACUCACUAUCACAAGGGUUAGUAACUACACAGACUCAUUUCAUAUCAUCCUCCACUCACUAUCGCAAGGGUUAGUAACUACACAGACUCAUUUCAUAGAACUUUAAAACACUGGCAGUUUGUCUACUUCACUUCUUUAGUCUCCUCUCUGAUCACUCCAGAUAAUCCAGUUGUUCAGGGAUGUGUGAUGUCAGAAUUACAGAAUUCAACCUAUCAACAGACUGGUUCAUAACUUAUGGAGGUCUAAUAUAUGAAGAUAACUUAUAGAUAGAACCUGCUCUUACCAUGACUAACAGAUGUACCAAUCUCCUCCUCCUCUUCUUCAUCUUUAAUGUUGACAUUCAGCUCCAGUGUUUGACUGCAGUCUUCCAGCUUCACUGAUGCCAUCUCUGGAUCCUGCAGUGCAAACUGGGCUCCACUGUCACAAUCAGGACCCAGUGACUGUAGGUUUGGACUCAGUGUGGAAGGGGAGAGGCAGGCUGGGUUUGUCCUCACUGUUGAUGUUACCGGCCUCAGACUUAAUCUGAGUUGGUCUGUAUUAAUACUUCUGAAACGGACACAACCGCUACUGUCUUCAGAGAACAAUUGUGGCCGAAGCCUGCCCGGAACUUCCUGUUCCCUGACUAUCAAAACGCAACAGGACUACUUCUUCUUCUUCGGUGGGUUUAAUGGUGGUUGGCAUUCAAUAUGUUGCAUUAGUUUAUUUAGUAAAUCUUUUCUUAACUCAGGUGUUGCAAGAAGGCCAAUAAGGGUAUUAUCUUUGAAAAACAAGGGUCCUGAAAAACGGACGUUUCUUUUUUUUGUUGGUCAAGAUAUAACUGAGGGAGUCAAACAAACACUGUUUGGUUGUAAUCAAGCUCUGACUUCACUACUUGUUUUGACCAGUGCCCAUACUCUGAUAGACUUCGUACCUUGUGCUGAUUAUUUGAAUUAAACACACCACUUAUUUUGUUCAUAAAGCUGUAGGAAUUGAAUUAAGUGUCUGGUUAAGAUCAUUUGAAAUUCUCAGCCUCUGGCAGAUUACUCCUCUACUUUACUGAGAGAGAGAGCACCUGAUUGUUCAAUUACUUGAAUUUACAUGGUUGUUACGAGAGAGAGGGAGAGAGAGGGAGGGAGAGAGAGAGCGAGAAAGAUGCAGGAUACAUUUGAUUGACCCUGUUCUGUGGAGCCUUCCUACUCCUCCUCAUCCCCUGUUCUGUGGAACCUUCCUACUCUUCCUCCUCAUCCCCUGUUCUGUGGAACCUUCCUACUCUUCCUCCUCAUCCCCUGUUCUGUGGAACCUUCCUACUCCUCCUCCUCAUCCCCUGUUCUGUGGAGCCUUCCUACUCCUCCUCCUCAUCCCCUGUUCUGUGGCCUCUCCCCAUAUGAAAUCUGUAAUUACAACUAAUGAAUUCAUGCUCAGGAUUCAUUGAGGAUGUCUAUCAUAUACUGGGUAUAUUAAUUAUGCUUCAAGGUUGA
ensembl:lncRNA